CCUACGGGAGGCAGCAGUGGGGAAUAUUGGUCAAUGGGCGCAAGCCUGACCCAGCAACGCCGCGUGAAGGAAGAAGGCUCUCUGGUUGUAAACUUCUUUUCUCAGGGACGAAGCAAGUGACGGUACCUGAGGAAUAAGCCACGGCUAACUACGUGCCAGCAGCCGCGGUAAUACGUAGGUGGCAAGCGUUAUCCGGAUUUACUGGGUGUAAAGGGUGUGUAGGCGGGACGGCAAGUCAGAUGUGAAAACCACGGGCUCAACCUGUGGCCUGCAUUUGAAACUGUAGUUCUUGAGUACUGGUGAGGCAGACGGAAUGCCUAGUGUAGCGGUGAAAUGCGUAGAGAUUAGGAGGAACACCAGUGGCGAAGGCGGUCUGCUGGACAGCAACUGACGCUGAGGCGCGAAAGCGUGGGGAGCAAACAGGAUUAGAUACCCCAGUAGUC
rnacentral:rRNA from 1 species